GGGGCUGUAGCUCAGUGGCAGAGCACUUGCCUGGCAUGCAUGAGGCAUGGGGUUCAAUCCUCAGCACCA
rnacentral:tRNA from 1 species